UACGGGGGGGGCAAGCGUUGUUCGGAAUUACUGGGCGUAAAGGGCUCGUAGGUGGCCAACUAAGUCGGACGUGAAAUCCCUCAGCUUAACUGGGGAACUGCGUCCGAUACUGGAUGGCUUGAGUUUGGGAGAGGGAUGCGGAAUUCCAGGUGUAGCGGUGAAAUGCGUAGAUAUCUGGAGGAACACCGGUGGCGAAGGCGGCAUCCUGGACCAACACUGACACUGAGGAGCGAAGCCAGGGAGCAAACGGG
rnacentral:rRNA from 1 species